rnacentral:tRNA from 1 species
UUCUGUGUCUUAGUUGGUUAAAGCGCCGGUCUAGCGAAUACGGAGUCGUGGGUUCGAGUCCCACCGGAA